CGCCUUGCCAGCCCGCUCAGAACUUAAAGGAAUUGACGGGGCCCGCACAAGCGGUGGAGUAUGUGGUUUAAUUCGAUGCAACGCGAAGAACCUUACCUGGUCUUGACAUCCCGGAGACCCUUAGGAAACUAGGGGGUGCUUCCAUCUGGAAGAAUCUGGAGACAGGUGCUGCAUGGCUGUCGUCAGCUCGUGUCGUGAGAUGUUGGGUUAAGUCCCGCAACGAGCGCAACCCUUGCCUUUAGUUGCCAGCAGUUCGGCUGGGCACUCUAAAGGGACUGCCGGUGUUAAACCGGAGGAAGGUGGGGAUGACGUCAAGUCCUCAUGGCCUUUAUGACCAGGGCUACACACGUACUACAAUGGCCGAUACAAGGGGCAGCGACACUGCGAGGUGAAGCCAAUCCCGUAAAAUCGGUCUCAGUCCGGAUUGGAGUCUGCAACUCGACUCCAUGAAGUUGGAAUCGCUAGUAAUCGUGGAUCAGCAUGCCACGGUGAAUACGUUCCCGGGCCUU
rnacentral:rRNA from 1 species